GCCGGAGUGGCGGAAGGGCAGACGCGGCCGACUUAAAAUCGGCUGCCCGCGAGGGCGUGCGGGUUCGAAUCCCGCCUCCGGCACGA
rnacentral:tRNA from 1 species